CACCUUCUGCCCACUAAUCAUCCUUGGCUCUGGGCCCUCAGGGUAAAUCAGCUGUGACAGGACAGCGUGGCAGGAGCGGGUCAGGCUCGUGCCGCGUCCAAGCCACUAGCUGUCACACUCACAUCUCAGCUCACAUGACCAACAGGGUUACAAGAUAAGGUUCUGUUAAUCCCAUGCUGCCCUCUUCCCUUCUGUGGAACGUGUUUUGAGGACUUCAGGCAACCUGUGCUGACUGUACCAUGCAGAGCAAAUACCAUGGAGGCACCCUACUGCCAUCGAGGGGCAGGUGGAGGGGUGACCAUCCUGUAGCUCUUCCCUGGGGCUACCCCUCUCUUCCCUCUGCACAGACCUGGCAGCCACCCAGACGUCCCGCGAGCUGCCUAGACUCUAAGAAGAUGCCCCAUCACUCCAACUACCAUACACAGUACUGGUGGGGAGAGGUCCUGCCUUGCAGCUGAAAAGUGCACUGCUUCCUCCCUCCAGGGAUGAAAGGCCGAGAGAACGAAGGCAGUGUGGAGACUACCCUCUUGCCAGUGACCUGCAGCUUCUCGCUUCCAAGCACACGAACUCCAGCUAAAAGAACUGGGCUUCUUACCUGCCGCCUUCCGCUGCCUCCCCGCAGACACAGCUUCAGCGAUGCCCAGGCUGAGCGAGCAGAAGAGGUUCCCGCGGGCCGGGCCUCCCCUCAGGCAGUGGCUCGCAGAGCUCCCCGGUUCCCCGCACUCUUCUGUGCCCGACUCCCCACGCCCCUACAUCCUGCGUUCCCUUUAGCUCCGGAGGCACCGUGGGGCCCGGGCGGCGGCCUGCCAGUCACCACCUCCUCCUCCGCCGGCGCCUCCGGGUCCUGAGCCCCUCGCCGGGUCCCUCUCCCUCCUGGGGCUCCUUUCCGUUCAGCCUGCGGGCCCCACCCCGCUUUCCCCGCACCCCCAGGCCCGGCCUGCGCCUUCCUGCGGUGCCGAGGGAACUCGGGUGAGGAAGUCCCGCCGAGUCGAGGGGCGCAAUGGAGGAGCGCCGGAACGAGUCUCUCAUUCCGAGUAGCUACCGUCGCCCUGUGCAAGUGUGAAAGUCACUUCCGCCCGGCGCAGUUGUUGCAGCUCUGAAGUGAGGAGAUUGGACUGGAAGGUUUCUCGGGUCACUCCAGUGAGGCUGGGAUUCUCUAGCCCUAAUAUCACUGGAGCAACCCAAAGGCCCAGAAACCGGACCAUCACCUCUCCUUCCCCGGGGCCAACGGAGGACUCCUGAAGGAGGGAGGAUUUGUCUCAGGCCUGACAACUCCUGAUGAGGACUUGGGCAGAAAUAGCCCCAGGCGAGGGGACCUUCACCAUUCCUGCACUGGAGCGGUCUCCUCCCUGCCCCACCCCAUCCCCCACCCCAGAAGGGGAAAACCCAGAGCUCUGAUUCCCAGCGCGGGGCAGCCUGCAGGCCCGGGUCCCAGCCCAAACGGAGGCAGCCCUGGGCAGCGGGCGCUUGGAACCCAAGGGCUCAGGGCCACUCAGCCCUUGUGACUGUCCCUCAUCUAAAAGAUGAGUGUAAUAACAAGACAAUUCGCUGUAGAUGGCAGGAUCAGACAUUGGGAGCUGUGUAGGGCUGGCUCUUUCUGCACUCACACUGUCCAGCAAUGGGCCCCAGGGCCAUGGCCCGUGGGCAGUAGGGCAAUGAGAAAGAGGUGGCUUCCGGAAACCUACACGAGACGCAAUCUGGGUGGAUCUGGGUGGCGGUGCCUUGCUUGCGAGGUGGGCAGAGCAACUUUCUACUGAAUUAUCUGACACUGUAAGUAAUGGCAGCCCUGCCCCGGGGAGCUGUGAGGCUGGGCCAGGACCACCCGCCUGUUGCCUGGCUUCAGGAAAGAAAGUGGGGAAGACAACAGAUUUGGGAGAAGGAACCUGAGGAGGUUUUUUCGCAGUCUCCCUCACACUGCCUCAGUCAUGGCCAUUGCUAAGGCUCACGGAGCCCAACUGUGCAAGGCCUGCACUCUGCACUUCUUCUCAUCCAACCCCACAACAACCCAAGGAGAAACAUAAUGUCCCCAUUUUACACGUGGUAGAACUGAGGUUCUACAUGGCCAAGUGACUUGUUCAGCACCAUACAGCUGGUAGUAGUGAAGCCAGGAUUCAAAUCCAGUUUUCCGACUCUAAAGUCUAAGUCACAGGCCAAGUGUGGUGGCUCACGCCUGUAAUCCCAGCACUUUGGAGGCUGAGGAGGGCAAAUCGUUUAAGCUCAUGAGUUCAAGACCAGCCUGGGCAACAUGGCAAAACCCUGUCUCUACAAAAAAAUACAAAAAUUAGCAGAGCAUGGUGGCACACACCUGUAAUCCCAGCUACUCGUGAGGCUGAGGCGGGAGGAUCGCUUGAACCUGGGAGGUGGAGGUUGCAGUGAAUAGAGAUCACACCACUGCACUCCUGCCUGGGCAAUAGAGCCAGACCUUGUCUCAAAAAAAAAAAAAAAUCUGAGGCACAAAAAAGCAAUGCCAAAUCCAGGAGCCCUGCUUCAGGAAGCAUCAGGACUAACUAGAUUUUAUUGGUCAAUAGAUGCAAACAACUGAUUUAGAGCAAACUUCCCCUCCAGUAAAUCAAGCUCCAAAUCAAACAAAGCUAGGGGUCAAAGCGCCUCCACCGUGGUUGGUCCUGCUCCUAGGGCAGCCCAGCCCCCCAUUUCCCCAGCCCCUCAUCUCUCCAGUUUCCCUCAAGAAGCCAGAGUCACGCCCCAUAUGACCUCUAGUGUAGGGUUAUCUGGAGCUUUAGGUUCAGAGGAAAGAGUGAGGUCUCCUGCUCCCUUCCUCCCUCCCACCCUGUUCCUCACCAACUCCUGGACGGUCCCCACCACAGGGUUGAGCACUGGGGCUAUGCUGGGAUGUAUCCGUGACGCUGACCGUGGUGGCCAGAGAGACACCAAGGGAGACUGCUCUGCCACUAGGGAGCUGACAUGAGGAAUGAGCCCCAGACUAAAAACGCCACGCUGGAAAGUUUCCGGCAUCAAGUUGGACCUGCUGGUGCGAUUGGUUCUGAUGCUGCUCCUCUGCUGGGCGCCACCCACCUCCUCAUCCCGGUCAGUGUCGCGGGUUGGGAAGGGAGCUCAGCUUUCAGCCCUCCACCUUACCUGGAAGCAUUCUGCAUGUUAAUUAUGUACCCAGACACUUAACAAAUCCUCCUUCUACCAAGUGUAUGCAAAACGCUUCCUGCACACCUAGAAACGCUUGCCACACGUGGCAGAGGGGUCACGUCUGUCACCCAGGACACAACUCCGCACCAAGGAAUUCAAGAACCUAACAGAACACAGAACAGAAAAGACUGUGAUC